rnacentral:lncRNA from 1 species
CUUCCGUGUAAAGAAGGAUGUGUUUGCUUCUCCUUCCACCAUGAUUGUAAGUUUCCUGAGGCCUCCCCAGCCAUGCUCAACUGCUGUUCUGAUCAUGAUCAAGCCCAAGACAGAGCGAUGGGCGUGGCUUCCCCAAAGGUGUUUAUGAAUCCAAAAUCUGAGAGAGAGAAGACAAGAUGAAGUCACAGCUCUCAGACUGUUGCUGCAGCCUCCUAACAGACUUCCCUGCCUCCAGUCUCUGCCACCAGUUCAUCCACAGCCCCGGGACACAUUAAAAUCUUCCUUCAGCAACGCUGUGAACAUCAUUCUCACCCACCCCCUUCUACUCAGAACCCUCCACUCCCCUCAUCACUGUGCAUAAAGUAGUGUUCAAAUUCCUUAGCUUGACUAUUCAGACCCCCAUAGUUGACCUUAGCCUCAUGAUCUCACUUUACUUCCCUCAACUUGACUUUCAAAUUUUUUUUUUUUUUUUUGCAGUCUAGUCAUUGCCUCAACACCAGUCAUUCCUACUCCCACCCAGACAACAUCAUCUCCACUCCCAAGCCCGAAAUGCUCCCUGCCAUGCCUUCGAGGCUGAGGUCUGGGAAGAAAACUCUAAGAAGAGAGAAAAGGGCACCAGUAUGGAGACCCUAGAAUAUAAAAAGCAGACUUAGCCUGUCUAACCUGUUCCUUGACUUGGCCAUGAUCCCAGGAAUGGAGGAAGGAUCUUCCUUUUCUUCCUCCUCCUGGAGAGGCAUCAGAGCAUGGGCCCUGGCUCUGUUACUCCCUGGCUGGGGAAGUUACUUACCUACUCCGUGUCUCAGUUUUACUUAUCUCUAAAAGGGGUAGAGUAACAGCACUCACUGGAGUGGAGUGUGGUUAUGCCUCCCAGCCUCUCCUUCAGAACUAGGUUACUUAUUCCCUCAGCUGCAAGGAGUGUUAGCUGCGGACUGCUCACAACGGAGUCUCUUCUAGGGAUUGCCCUCAACCGAAGGAAGCUGCAUUGCCCAAGAUGAGAUCCCCUCGCUGGGGCAUCCUGCAUCCAAUGACAAGUCAGUGGGGCGUACGAAGGCCUGGCUUCCUCAUCUCGAUUGGACAUCUCCAAAGGGCCAUCCCAGUUUCUGAUCUCCCCGUAGAAUCUCCUGAAGCCUCUGUUGUGACUGCAUCAGAGCCCAACCUCUCUCUCUACCCAAUCCAGUCUCCUUUCCUUCUCACAGGUGUUGUUCCCAAAACUCAGUAAACUGCCUACACGCAAAUCUCUGCUUCUGAG